CCCUUCACAGCAGGGCAGAGGAAAGAGGUGGAGUUUGGAGGCCUUGUGACCCCCAUCCCCCAACAAGGGAGCUGACACCAUCCAAUAAUCCAGGCAUCUUUCUCCAUAGAGGGGUGCUGGAUCCCACAGUUCUCCCCCCUUUUCUCUGUGGGGAAGAGGGUUGAAGCAUAAACGGAAAUGGGGGACCGUGGCUGUGUCUGUUAAGAGGCUCGGCUUCUGGGCAGCGCACCACUGAGAACGCCCGUGGGCCCAGGCAGGAUCCAGUUUGAGGCAGUUACUACGCGCCCCCCUCCCCAGCAGGGGCUGGAAUGUAGCCCCGUAGAAAAGCACCUGCCUGACACGUGAGGCCCCUUUAUGUCUUCAACAGCAGAAAAUAAACUGAACGUUCCCUUUGUUUCGGUCUGGGAAGGUCCAAGGGCCCCUUCCUUCCCGAGAGCUACUUUCUGUAUUGUGCUGAGUUUCUUCCAGGAACUUGGUUUCUUCCUGAAGUUCCCGAGACCUCUGACCUUCCCACCCGGAGAAAGUCACAAGCAAGCCACCACCUCAGCCCUUUGUGGAUCAGGGAGGCUGUGGAGCCCCGCUUCCCUGCCCCCAUCCUGUUUGCAGAGACAAAGUCCGCUGCCACCUCUCAGGGCCCGGCGGCCCCGGGGCGAGUGACCUGGAGCCACCCUCCCAGUGAGGCCAGCCUGUGAUGUCCCCGCCAGUCCAGGGUAUGACGCUGGCCAGGCCUUCCAUGCCCCGCCACGGUGCAACCACGACCCUGGGCGCCCCCUGCUGGUGGCCGUGCUCAGCAAGAGGAGAAAAUCAAAGCCUCAGAUACGUUUUUUCCUUGUGUAUUUUUUGAAGUUUUUUCUGUAAAAUGUCCCGUUCUUCCAUAACUUAUAAACAUGAUUUCUAUGGAGGGGUGGAGGGGAAAGUGACGGGCGGCCGGGCGCGACUCUGCCGCCCUCGGGAGGACAAGGACGUCACGUCUUUUGUCCCUGAGCCUGUCCAGCCACCUCUACCAGGGCGCCCUUCAAAUUCCAGAACUCCCUCCGGGACCCCAGGGCCCGGGCGGGCACUGUCCCCUGGCGCUGGGGAUCUUCGGGCGUGAGGUGGGUCCCCUCCUUCCCGCUGCCCUGACCCCAGGAGGGAGGGAGAGGAGGGGAGGGCGGCCGGCCCAGUGUGGUCUGCAGAGGAGGGCUUGAGGGCUCAGCCGAUGGUGAGUCCAAAGCCGCACAGGAACUUAUUCUUGCGGUGGUUCAGGAAGGCGCAGAGGGACAGUGUCAGGGGCAGGGGAGGCAGCUUCUUCUCGAGUGUGGCGCCCACGAUCCAGUUACUGUUCACAGAGCCUGUGGGCCAAGAGCGGGGUUGGUGCACCUGGUCACCUCUAUGGGUAGCCACGCCCUGUCACAUGGCAGGCAGCUACUGCACAGGCGCACGCCUCCCCAGCCCUGAUUUCUGGGAAUGGUCGAGCUCCUGAAUACACAGGUGCAUGACAACCUUAGGGGCCGGUGCCAGCUCAGCCAGAGUGAACGGAGUCGGUUGGUCUCCAACUGCAUAGUCCUGGGCAUAAGGGGCGGGCCAGUAAAUGAGUUCCCGCCUUCCAGCUCCUGCUUUGACCCCUCAGUGGCAGGAGGGGGCCUGGGACUCCUAAGCCACAAUAAACUCUUCCCUCCCA